UUGGAGGGCAAGUCUGGUGCCAGCAGCCGCGGUAAUUCCAGCUCCAAUAGCGUAUAUUAAAGUUGUUGCAGUUAAAAAGCUCGUAGUUGAAUUUCGGGGUCAGCAGGUUGGUCGUGCCACUGGUAUGAACUGGCCUUGCUGAUUCCUCCUUCUUGAAGAACCGUGAUGCCAUUAAUUUGGUGUUGCGGGGAAACAGGACUGUUACUUUGAAAAAAUUAGAGUGUUUAAAGCAGGCUCACGCUUGAAUACAUUAGCAUGGAAUAAUAAAAUAGGACGUUUAUCCUAUUUUGUUGGUUUCUAGGGUUGACGUAAUGAUUAAUAGGGAUAGUUGGGGGCAUUAGUAUUCAAUUGUCAGAGGUGAAAUUCUUGGAUUUAUUGAAGACUAACUACUGCGAAAGCAUUUGCCAAGGAUGUUUUCAUUAAUCAAGAACGAAAGUUAGGGGAUCGAAGACGAUCAGAUACCGUCGUAGUCUUAWCCAUAAACUAUGCCGACUAGGGAUCGGAUGAUGUUAAUUUUUUAAUGACCCAUUCGGCGCCUUACGGGAAAC
rnacentral:rRNA from 1 species